rnacentral:rRNA from 1 species
GAGUCUAUCAUGUGCACAAGUCAAUGGGCUUACUAAACCCAAAGGCGAAAUGAGAGCAAAGGUUGUCAAAUGCGUGUCCUCCUGUCCUCCUGUCAAAGGGAAGAUACUGAGUAGAUCAUUGCAGAUGCAAAAUGAGAGCCGAUCCCAUACUUGUUAUGGGCGCAGGCUCAGGACUUGCUGUGCCCCAUUGUGGGUACGCGAGUCCCAGGAGUGCACCUGGUAGUACCCGAAAGAUAGUGACCUAUGCCUGGCCGGGGUGAAGCCAGAGGAAACUCUGGUGGAGGUCCCUAUAGGUUCUGACGUGCAAAUCGAUCUUAUGAGCUGGGUAUAGGGGCGAAAGACUAAUCGAACUAUCUAGUAGCUGGUUCCCUCUGAAGUUUCCCUAAGGAUAGCUGGUGCUCAUUAAAGAUUUUCAUUCAGUAAAGAAACUAUUAGAUGUGUUUGGGACGAAACGUCCUGAACCUUUUAUAAAACUUCAAAUGGGUGAUAAAUCUAGCUUUUAUUAAAGUUGGAUAAUGAAUCUGAGUGCCUAGUGGGCCAAUUUUGGUAAGCAGAACUGGCGCUGUGGGAUGAACCAAACGUUGAGUUAAGGGGCCUAAAUGAACGCAUUACCAUGAAGAGUGUUGGUUGCUGAAGACAGCAGGACGGUGGCCAUGGAAGUUGGAAUCCGCUUAGGAGUGUGUGU